GAUGAACGCUGGCGGCGUGCCUAAUACAUGCAAGUCGAGCGAACAGACGAGGAGCUUGCUCCUCUGACGUUAGCGGCGGACGGGUGAGUAACACGUGGAUAACCUACCUAUAAGACUGGGAUAACUUCGGGAAACCGGAGCUAAUACCGGAUAACAUGUUGAACCGCAUGGUUCAACAGUGAAAGACGGUCUUGCUGUCACUUAUAGAUGGAUCCGCGCCGCAUUAGCUAGUUGGUAAGGUAACGGCUUACCAAGGCAACGAUGCGUAGCCGACCUGAGAGGGUGAUCGGCCACACUGGAACUGAGACACGGUCCAGACUCCUACGGGAGGCAGCAGUAGGGAAUCUUCCGCCAUGGGCGAAAGCCUGACGGAGCAACGCCGCGUGAGUGAAGAAGGUCUUCGGAUCGUAAAACUCUGUUAUUAGGGAAGAACAAAUGUGUAAGUAACUAUGCACGUCUUGACGGUACCUAAUCAGAAAGCCACGGCUAACUACGUG
rnacentral:rRNA from 1 species